rnacentral:rRNA from 1 species
CCUACGGGAGGCAGCAGUGAGGAAUAUUGGUCAAUGGGCGCGAGCCUGAACCAGCCAAGUCGCGUGAGGGAAGACGGUCCUAUGGAUUGUAAACCUCUUUUGUCGGGGAGCAAAAGACGCCACGCGUGGCGUUACGAGAGUACCCGAAGAAAAAGCAUCGGCCUACUCCGUGCCAGCCGCCGCGGUAAUACGGAGGAUGCGAGCGUUAUCCGGAUUUAUUGGGUUUAAAGGGUGCGCAGGCGGAUUGUUAAGUCAGCGGUCAAAUCGUGGGGCUCAACCCCAUCCAGCCGUUGAAACUGGGGAUCUAGAGUGUGUGAGAGGUAUGCGGAAUGCGUGGUGUAGCGGUGAAAUGCAUAGAUAUCACGCAGAACCCCGAUUGCGAAGGCAGCAUACCGGUGCACAACUGACGCUCAGGCACGAAAGCGUGGGUAUCGAACAGGAUUAGAUACCCCUGUAGUC